GGGACAGGGCUGCUGGUGGAGGCUGUACACCUGAGCAGACCCUGGCCUCCCAGGCUGGGUGCUCUGGGGAGAAGAGCGAAGACCAUGUGGCAGCACCAGGACCCGACCUCAUUAACGUGAGGUGGGGUGAAGGGACGCCUUUGGUGAAGGCAGUAGUAUUCACCUCCGUGGACUCCUCCUCAGUUUCUGGUCUGCACUGUUCCUCCUUGCCCUGAGUUGGAAACCUGGGGGUUCAGCCAGUGCUUGAGGUCCUGCCUUCUCAUUGGAUGGCAGAGCAGACCUGCAUUGAGAGAGACGCUAAAGUUCUUCAGGCUGAAGGGAAAGAAAUCCAAAUGAAAGAACAGAGUCGCUGGAUGGAUAAAGAGAAAUGUGUGAUUAGAGAAAACCUAGUUGAGAGUUGUACGCCCCAGGACAUGGAAGCCAACAUCGGAAUGCAGUCCAACCUCCUUUCCUGAGAACUGCCUAUCAUUAUGAAAAGAUUAACAACCUUGUUGCUGAAACAAUCUAGUCCCAGAGGCGCCAGCCAUUGCCCGCCCUUUUCGACCCCCAGCCCCUAUUGCUUGUAAUCUGGUCCCAGAGGCACCUGGAGGCACCUGCUCUCCGUGACCUCCUCCACCGCCCCUCCCCCC